CCCCUAGACGUUCUGGGCUGCACGCGCGCUACAAUAAUACGCACAGCGAGUAUCACCGAGCUCGAAAGGGCAAGGUAAACAAUAGAAAAGGUACUGUAAUGGUUAUAGAUCCUUGUAAUUAUUGAUCUUCAACGAGGAAUUCCUAGUAAGUAUGUGUCAUCAUCACGCACUGAUUACGUCCCUGCCCUUUGUACACGCCGCCCGUCGCUCCUACCGAUUGAGUGAGCCGAUGAAACUGCCGGAUGUGGACUAUUCAUAGUCUGCAGAAGAUAUUUGAAUCGUAGCGCUUAGAGGAAGGAGAAGUCGUAACA
rnacentral:rRNA from 1 species